rnacentral:rRNA from 1 species
UACAGAGGUCUCAAGCGUUGUUCGGAUUCAUUGGGCGUAAAGGGCGCGUAGGCGGGCUGUCAAGUCUGGGGUGAAAUCCCGCGGCUCAACCGUGGAACUGCCUUAGAUACUGACGGCCUCGAGGGAGGCAGGGGCGAGCGGAACGGGUGGUGGAGCGGUGAAAUGCGUUGAUAUCACUCGGAACUCCGGUGGCGAAAGCGGCUCGCUGGUCCUUUUCUGACGCUGAGGCGCGAAAGCUAGGGGAGCAAACGGG